GUUCAUUUGAUAUUAAAAAUGUGUUAAUUAUAGUUACAUUUAAGUAUAAAUGGUUCAUUUUACAUUGAAGUUAAAUGAUAAAGGUUAGAGUUUUUUUCUUUUAUAGAAGUUCCUCCCUUCUUUGAUGCAAGGUUUCACAAUCACCUCAGCAUCAUUUUUCACUAGCGGUCUGUUCUUCACUACUUGACUGACCCCUGUGAUUGACAUGGAAAAAUAACCAUGAUUCAGAAAAAGUUAGAAAAAUGCUAACUCAGCAUUAGUCACUCAGUACAGUUGAGAUUAAAAGUUUGCCUCAGAUUUUGCAAAAUCUUAGCUACUUGGAGUUCUACUGUGUUCUACUAACUAGUUACAGUAAGAUAAUCAUUUUGAUUUAAUAUGCCAAAGAGAAAGACACAUUUGCCUGUAGGCUAGAUGAAGAGGACAAAAAUUUUUCAUCCCAGAUACAUUAGAGAAGACAAAAAUUACAGAUUUGUUACAGGGAGAUCUCAAUGUGAAAGAUGGAAUCUCAUUAUUAAUUGAAUUAAAUUUAAAUCAAAAUGUUAAGUUAGAGAAAAUAAUUGCAAAAGUGGAUAGGAUAGCCUUGUUGGUGGAGAAUUUGGAUGAGGUGAUUGUAGGAUUCAAAUCUAGAAUGGAGUUAUUGGAGAAGUUGAUGCAGGAGGAAGAUUUAUCUUUAACUGCAGAAUGAGUGAAUUUGCAAUGGCAAAUCCCAGAUAUUAGUUUAAGUAUGAAGCAUUAAAAAUGUUUUAUAAAGAAGGAAAGAAGAAAAGCUUUGCUAAAGAAAUAAAAGGGGAAAGGAGCACAGUGAAUGGCAAGAUUUUCACUUGUAAUACUUCCUCAAAGAGGAUGGAAAUGUAAGGUUGGUCAUGACCUCAUUCUGAUGUUUUGAUAAUGUCAUGGAACUGUGAGGGAAUUCUGAAUAAAUAUUUUGAUAAUUUUUGUCUUCUUUCAAGGUUGUCUUUCUCUUGGACACUUGGUGGGAUAGCAAAUCUGUUGUUGCGGAGUUCCGUGAUUAUGAAAAUUUUGUGAUCAUUCAGGAAGCUGGUUUUUGCAAGACUAAUAGAGGACAUUGUAUAAGAGGUUAGAUUUUUUUAAGCACAUUGUUAACUUUUAAAAUUUUGAUACAGAAUAAGUUUAAUUCAUUGAUCAAAAUUACAUUAAGUAAUAGAUUGGUUAUGUUUUGUUUUUUGUAUCUAAGAUCUGUUAUUUGGGAAGAUAUUUGGAUUGAGAUUAUUAUGGUUAUUCAAAGUUAUAAUGGUGACAUUCUAAUGCACAUAUGAAAAUGGACCCACAGGAUUGGGCCCUGGAAAUUUUGGGUGAGUUGGAAUGGUGUUGGUUAUUGAGAAUAUUGCAAGAUCUGAUAGUAAAUCUGCAAGGUAAAUCA